UGGCAACGAUGUAAGGAAACAAAAAAUUUGCCGUAAAGAGACUGAUACCGAAAGUUGGUCGUAGUUUUCAAGAUGGCGUCUGUAAAUCUCCACGCGAGAAAUCGCAACGAAGACAAAAUAAUGUUAUUUUAUUGUUUUGACGAUGCAAAAGCUUACAUAAAAAGAAAUGAAAUUGAUACGAAUAACCUACAUAAUUGGUUACAGCACAAAAAACUUUGGUAAUUCAGUUUUUACUUCAUCCUCCCAUAAGGUUUGUUGGGUCCAUGGGGUGAACCCUUAUAUGUAUGUGAGCCUUGGACAUCAGGGUCUGAAAUGCCACCAUGGUACAGACAAGAAUAAGAAGAGAAAACUGGAAAAGGAGAAGGUAUUGGACAGAAAAAUGACAAAGACAGUUAGCAGUGAGCAACAUUCAUAUGCUAAAUAGAAAACAAGGCAUGCAGUGCAGCUCUCCAAAAAAUUGGACUGUCCUGCUUCUAUCAUUCUGAAGGAAGUGUUGAUAUUCACCCCUGAAAAGGGUUCAUCAAGCGAGCUGGACAAAAAAAUGGCUGCUUCUAAUGUGAGGAGUGAUCUGAGUAAAGGCAUCAAGAAGAUAAUGGUGGUGUUUCCUAACAUCGAACACAAGUACCAUACAAGUGGAGAGAACGCUGGGCUGUUGCAACGUAUCGACAGUGAUGUUACCUCAAAAAUUAAAAACUUGUGGUGGAAGAGGGCGUUGCAAAUGUUGAAGAAAUGCAACGCCAUCUGACCUCAUUUGUUAUGAAGAAUGUAACACCUGCUCCAUCAAGAACUAAAAGGAGAUUUGCCCCUACAAAAAAGUGAUCAGAUAUCACAUGAAUAAGGCAGCAAAGAAGGGUUGUGAUAGCAAUGAUGACCAACACAACUUAGUUCAACUUGUGAGUGUGCUUAGUGUGUAAUUAACAGUUACUUCAAUACAGAUAUAUAUUUAUCACAUGCCAUACCCUGCUUCCCCUUGUAAUAUAACCAUUACGAAUAUUUUUAUCUUACACAUGUGUAAUAUACUUUUUAAGGAUUUUCAUUGGCUUAUUUUCGUUUGAUUGACCAAUCGCAUUUUGUUAUGUUGCUGAAAUAACAUUGCAACGUCAAAUGACGUCACGAAAUGUAAACAACAUUUCGGAUUUAUCAUUAAGUUUGCGAAAAUAUUUUAAUAAUUUUUUGUGUCCGGAGCCAUAUCUUGGAAGUGCUUUGGCGGAUUUCAUUGAAACUUGGUAUGAGUAUAAAUAUGGAUAAGAGGAUGAUACAUAACAUUUGACAGAGUUAUACAUCUCAUUAAGCGAAAUUUAAGAAAUUGUGUUAUUAUAUUUUCAUAUAUUACUUUUCGGCCUAAGAUGCUAAGGUCAUACAUUGUUUUGUAAACGAAACAUGCGACAUAAUUUUCCUUUAUCAUUUACAUUUGUUGUAAAUAGUGAACAUAUUAAAAUUCUGAUGUCUGAUAUUAAUUUGCCUCUUGUGAAUAGAUUUGUACCAUUGUUUUGUUAAAUGGACCUUUUCACGUUUUGGUAAAUUGACGAAAUUGUUUUUUUUUUCAGAUUUCAAAAUUUUCGUUGUAGUUUUUUUUUUGCGAGGAAUCGGUAAUACUGAAAAUUUACUAAGCUCUACAAUAUUACAGUAUUUGCAUAUUUUGAAGAUUUAAACACAUUAAAAAUUUAAAGCAUUACGAAGGAAUAAUUUGGCGAGUUCUGUUGUUAUCAUUAUAUUUUGUGACAGUACGAUGAUUGCUGAUAUAAAUUAUAACAUAAACAUAUUACUUACUAUACGAUCACAGAUGGGCGAGUUGUUUAAGUUCUAGUCUUUUUCUCAAAUGGUCAGUUGUUUAAGACUAGUUAAGGAUAACUUUUUUAUCUUUGAUUUUAUUCUUGUUUAAUUAUUGAGCUAUUUAAUUCCGAUGUAAACAUUUAUCUUUUUACAUUAUUUUAUUUAUUUCAUCAUUUUUAUUUUUAAAACUUCAACACAUGCCAAAAUCCGUAAAAAUAUCCAUAUACAGGUAUGCGUUUAUAAUUGUUGGCAUCAUUUACGUCAAUUUCUUUAAACUAUGACUUUUUCCCUUCGCACCAAGACAAGAAUAUUAAUUGAUUAAACCAAUGGUUAUUGUUUGCUUUUGAAUGUCUUACUAUUGAACAUUUGAUAAUCUCAUCCGGAGGUUGUUGCUUUCCCGGGAUUUUAUUAUUGUUUUGUUAAUUUAUUAAUUUUCCAACGUUUAGAAAUGUCAUGUUUUGCUAACAUUUAUAAAUGUAUUUAUACUUUUAUUCGCACUUUGAUCGUAGUACUUUCAUGUUUGGCUUUCUUUCACAUCGAACAAGUGUUUAUUUUUUUAUAAAUAUCAUCUACGGUUGAGUGGUUCGAUUUAACUUCUUUAAUUUAAGACGCAUUCUGCAGAAUACACCAAAAAUAUCGGGUUUGAUGAACCUUAUAUAUUUAAUGUUGUGCCUUUCUUUUAUUAAUACGCUCUCCUUUUCUAUAUUUUGUAAUUCGUCUGCAAAACAAAAGCGUUCAUAUUUGAGUUCUUUUAUUGCUAGUUUAUAUUUUUUCUUGAUUAAAAAUCAAUGCAUUUUUUAGCAUUUGCGUAUAUUCAUAGUUUAUUCGAUGUUAUGGUAUGAUUUUCUUGAAACGAGAUGGUUUGCCACAGACGUGAAUGGCAGCAAUGUAUAGAUUGUGUGUAAACCAUUUCACCAUUUCUCCCAUUUCACCUUGAAUCGGUAAAUAUUAAAGAUGAAGUUCGUGUAAAUAAUGCGUUGUUAAAACGUCAAUUUUAUCUGCAUUUUAGGAGAUGUAUGAUGUUAACUGUGUAUAGUUGUGAAAUUAACCAUAUUCGUCGUUAUCGUAUUAGUUAUGGCGACACUCUUCAAAGAUGAUCUUAAAAUACUUAAAGUUGUAAUUAUUGUUUAUUUGUAACAUUUUAAGUCUAAUCCGGGUUUUCGCAACAAAUAAAUUUAACCAAACAUAGGACUGCACUCAACGGCACUUAUGUGGCCAAGGAUGGUUAAAUCUCAUAGAUGUGUGUUCAUAUUGAAAUACCAUAUAAAGUUGUAUAUAUUUAUGUAUGCAUGCAUGUAUGUAUGUAUGUAUGUAAUGAUAUACAUAUUAGAUAUAUUUAGUCUUAUAGCCUAACAAUUGAUCCAUAUGCAUCACGCACAUUUACCAAUAAGGUGUACUCCUUUUUAUCAUGUUAAUGUCAUUAAUUAAAAAAGUUGCAAUAUUAUAUGAAAUCAUGUAUUCCCUUCAUAAGCAUACCAUGUUAACCAGUUCAUAACAAUAUCGUCCAUUCUUUAUCUUCUACCAUCACUUAUAAAUAAAAUGUAUAAUCCAUAUAUAAUGUAAGCUAUGAGCUUGUAUAAGCUUUGUUGCUGAAUAAAUGUUGUUCUUGUUCUAAG